GCCGCGUUGGCGUAGUGGUAGCGCGUCGCACUUGUACAGCAUUGCAUCCGCAAGACUGGAUAUGCGAAGGUCACUCGUUCAAUCCGGGUACGUGGCA